rnacentral:pre_miRNA from 11 species
ACCUUUGUCCCCCUGAUAGUGAAAGACCCCAGAAGGGAGACCCUCGCUCAAAUCUCGGGAAUAGCGUGCACCCAGUGAGUCACCGAGACCA